GCGACAAAUCAGGUGGUUGCCAGCUUGGUCUCCCGUGGUAAGCUUGGGGACCAGGGCUUCUGCUUUCUCCUGCUUCCCAGCUACGAGGUUGCCCCUUGUGACCCAGCUCCAUAAUACCUUCCUACCCUCAGCACCCUGGCUCUGAACUGCUGUCAUUUGCUUUUUAAAGUCUGCAUUUGUGGCAUGCCCUGACUUCAGCAUCUCUUCUCUCAAGGACACUGACAUGUAGUGGGUCUUAUUAUUAUGGUAGCUUGGGCUGUCCUGACCUUAAACUCUCUAUGUAGCCCAGGUUGGCUUUCAACUGCACUGCUCCUGCUUCAGGCAAACUCUGAGUAGUGGAGUUACAGGUACGACUCUCGUGCUCAGCAAUGUCUUACAGUUCUCUGUCACAAA